rnacentral:rRNA from 1 species
ACGCGUGAGAACAUGCCUUUAGAUUGGGGACAACAGUUGGAAACGACUGCUAAUACCGAAUGUGCCUUAGGGUGAAAGAUUUAUUGUCUAGAGAUUGGCUCGCGUCAGAUUAGCUAGUUGGAGUGGUAACGGCACACCAAGGCGACGAUCUGUACUUGGUCUGAGAGGAUGACCAGGCACACUGGAACUGAGACACGGUCCAGACUCCUACGGGAGGCAGCAGUGGGGAAUUUUCCGCAAUGGGCGAAAGCCUGACGGAGCAAUACCGCGUGAGGGAGGACGGCUUUUGGGUUGUAAACCUCUUUUAUCAGGGAAGAAUCGAUGACGGUACCUGAUGAAUCAGCAUCGGCUAACUCCGUGCCAGCAGCCGCGGUAAUACGGAGGAUGCAAGCGUUAUCCGGAAUUAUUGGGCGUAAAGCGUCCGUAGGUGGUUUAUCAAGUCUGCUGUCAAAGCGUGCGGCUUAACCGCAUAAGGGCAGUGGAAACUGAUGAACUAGAGUGCGAUAGGGGUAACAGGAAUUCCCAGUGUAGCGGUGAAAUGCGUAGAUAUUGGGAAGAACACCAGCGGCGAAAGCGUGUUACUGGGUCUGCACUGACACUGAGGGACGAAAGCUAGGGGAGCGAAAGGGAUUAGAUACCCCUGUAGUCCUAGCCGUAAACGAUGACAACUAGGCGUGGUUCGUAUCGACCCGAGCCGUGCCGUAGCCAACGCGUUAAGUUGUCCGCCUGGGGAGUACGCACGCAAGUGUGAAACUCAAAGGAAUUGACGGGGGCCCGCACAAGCGGUGGAGUAUGUGGUUUAAUUCGAUGCAACGCGAAGAACCUUACCAAGGCUUGACAUCCUCGGAACCCUGAUGAAAGUUAGGGGUGCCUUCGGGAGCCGAGAGACAGGUGGUGCAUGGCUGUCGUCAGCUCGUGUCGUGAGAUGUUGGGUUAAGUCCCGCAACGAGCGCAACCCACGUUUUUAGUUGCCAGCAUUCAGUUGGGCACUCUAGAGAGACUGCCGGUGACAAACCGGAGGAAGGUGUGGAUGACGUCAAGUCAGCAUGCCCCAUACGCCUUGGGCUACACACGUACUACAAUGCGUCGGACAAAGAGCAGCCAGCCAGCGAUGGUGAGCCAAUCUCAUAAACCGACGCUCAGUUCAGAUUGCAGGCUGCAACUCGCCUGCAUGAAGGCGGAAUCGCUAGUAAUCGCAGGUCAGCAUACUGCGGUGAAUACGUUCCCGGGCCUUGUACACACCGCCCGUCACACCAUGGGAGUUGGUCACGCCCGAAGUCGUUACUCUAACUGCUGCAGA